AGUGGCGGACGGGUGAGUAACGCGUGAGUAACCUGCCUACGAGAGGGGAAUAACAUCGGGAAACCGGUGCUAAUACCGCAUAACGCAUAGAGACCGCAUGAUUUUUAUGCCAAAGAGAAAUCGCUUGUAGAUGGACUCGCGUCCGAUUAGGUAGUUGGUGAGGUAACGGCUCACCAAGCCGACGAUCGGUAGCCGGACUGAGAGGUUGAACGGCCACAUUGGAACUGAGAUACGGUCCAGACUCCUACGGGAGGCAGCAGUGGGGAAUAUUGGGCAAUGGGCGAAAGCCUGACCCAGCGACGCCGCGUGAGGGAAGACGGUCUUCGGAUUGUAAACCUUAGUAAGCAGGGAAGAAGAAAGUGACGGUACCUGCAGAGUAAGCCACGGCUAACUACGUGCCAGCAGCCGCGGUAAUACGUAGGUGGCGAGCGUUAUCCGGAAUUACUGGGUGUAAAGGGUGUGUAGGCGGGACUUCAAGUCAGAUGUGAAAAUUACGGGCUCAACCCGUAACCUGCAUUUGAAACUGAGGUUCUUGAGAGUCGGAGAGGUAAAUGGAAUUCCCGGUGUAGCGGUGAAAUGCGUAGACAUCGGGAGGAACACCAGUGGCGAAGGCGAUUUACUGGACGACAACUGACGCUGAGACACGAAAGCGUGGGGAGCAAACAGGAUUAGAUACCCUGGUAGUCCACGCUGUAAACGAUGAAUGCUAGGUGUAGGGGUGGAAACACUUCUGUGCCGGAGUUAACACAAUAAGUAUUCCACCUGGGGAGUACGACCGCAAGGUUGAAACUCAAAGGAAUUGACGGGGGCCCGCACAAGCAGUGGAUUAUGUGGUUUAAUUCGACGCAACGCGAAGAACCUUACCAGGAUUUGACAUCCAACUAACGAAGCAGAGAUGCAUAAGGUGCCCUUCGGGGAAAGUUGAGACAGGUGGUGCAUGGUUGUCGUCAGCUCGUGUCGUGAGAUGUUGGGUUAAGUCCCGCAACGAGCGCAACCCCUAUUGUUAGUUGCUACGCAAGAGCACUCUAGCGAGACUGCCGUUGACAAAACGGAGGAAGGCGGGGACGACGUCAAAUCAUCAUGCCCCUUAUGUCCUGGGCUACACACGUAAUACAAUGGCCGUCAACAGAGGGAAGCAAAGCCGCGAGGUGGAGCAAAUCCCCAAAAACGGUCUCAGUUCGGAUUGCAGGCUGCAACUCGCCUGCAUGAAGCUGGAAUUGCUAGUAAUCGCGGAUCAGCAUGCCGCGGUGAAUACGUUCCCGGGCCUUGUACACACCGCCCGUCA
rnacentral:rRNA from 1 species